UCGAGCGAACAGACGAGGAGCUUGCUCCUCUGACGUUAGCGGCGGACGGGUGAGUAACACGUGGAUAACCUACCUAUAAGACUGGGAUAACUUCGGGAAACCGGAGCUAAUACCGGAUAAUAUAUUGAACCGCAUGGUUCAAUAGUGAAAGACGGUUUUGCUGUCACUUAUAGAUGGAUCCGCGCCGCAUUAGCUAGUUGGUAAGGUAACGGCUUACCAAGGCAACGAUGCGUAGCCGACCUGAGAGGGUGAUCGGCCACACUGGAACUGAGACACGGUCCAGACUCCUACGGGAGGCAGCAGUAGGGAAUCUUCCGCAAUGGGCGAAAGCCUGACGGAGCAACGCCGCGUGAGUGAUGAAGGUCUUCGGAUCGUAAAACUCUGUUAUUAGGGAAGAACAAAUGUGUAAGUAACUAUGCACGUCUUGACGGUACCUAAUCAGAAAGCCACGGCUAACUACGUGCCAGCAGCCGCGGUAAUACGUAGGUGGCAAGCGUUAUCCGGAAUUAUUGGGCGUAAAGCGCGCGUAGGCGGUUUUUUAAGUCUGAUGUGAAAGCCCACGGCUCAACCGUGGAGGGUCAUUGGAAACUGGAAAACUUGAGUGCAGAAGAGGAAAGUGGAAUUCCAUGUGUAGCGGUGAAAUGCGCAGAGAUAUGGAGGAACACCAGUGGCGAAGGCGACUUUCUGGUCUGUAACUGACGCUGAUGUGCGAAAGCGUGGGGAUCAAACAGGAUUAGAUACCCUGGUAGUCCACGCCGUAAACGAUGAGUGCUAAGUGUUAGGGGGUUUCCGCCCCUUAGUGCUGCAGCUAACGCAUUAAGCACUCCGCCUGGGGAGUACGACCGCAAGGUUGAAACUCAAAGGAAUUGACGGGGACCCGCACAAGCGGUGGAGCAUGUGGUUUAAUUCGAAGCAACGCGAAGAACCUUACCAAAUCUUGACAUCCUCUGACCCCUCUAGAGAUAGAGUUUUCCCCUUUCGGGGGACAGAGUGACAGGUGGUGCAUGGUUGUCGUCAGCUCGUGUCGUGAGAUGUUGGGUUAAGUCCCCGCACGAGC
rnacentral:rRNA from 1 species